ACUCCUACGGGAGGCAGCAGUGGGGAAUAUUGCACAAUGGGGAAACCCUGAUGCAGCCAUGCCGCGUGUGUGAAGAAGGCCUUCGGUUGUAAAGCACUUUCUAGUAGGGAGGAAGGUAGUGUAGUUAACACCUGCAUUAUUUGACGUUACCUACAGAAGAAGCACCGGCUAACUCCGUGCCAGCAGCCGCGGUAAUACGGAGGGGUGCGAGCGUUAAUCGGAAUUACUGGGCGUAAAGCGCAUGCAGGCGGCCUGUUAAGUCAGAUGUGAAAGCCCGGGGGCUUAACCUCGGAAUUGCAUUUGAAACUGGCAGGCUAGAGUCUUGUAGAGGGGGUAGAAUUUCAGGUGUAGCGGUGAAAUGCGUAGAGAUCUGAAGGAAUACCAGUGGCGAAGGCGGCCCCCUGGACAAAGACUGACGCUCAGAUGCGAAAGCGUGGGGAGCAAACAGGAUUAGAUACCCUGGUAGCACAGAG
rnacentral:rRNA from 1 species